GCGGAGUUAGUCCAGCCUGGUAGGACGUCAGCUUCCCAAGCUGAAGGUCACGUGUUCAAAUCCCGUACUCCGCA
rnacentral:tRNA from 2 species